rfam:Oryza glumipatula chromosome 3, whole genome shotgun sequence.
AAUAAGUGCAGCCAUUAGUUUCCGCGCCUAAUUUUGAUCGUCCGUCUUAUUUAAAAUUUUUUUAUAAUUAGCAUUUUUGUUAUUAUAAAAUGAUAAAACAUGAAUAGUACUUUACUCGUGACUUAUGUUUUUAAUUUUUUUCAAAAAAUUUUCAAAUAAGACGAGUUAAAGUUGGGCGCGGAAAACCAUGGUUGCACUUGUU